CUACCUCCAGGCUUUGCGAACAUCACCCUUUUUUUCUAGAUUUUUUUCUUUUGUAAAUUGGAUGCAUUAAUUAAACUAAACAUGAAUAAAUACAUCUAUGGAAAUCAAAAAAUUAAAUAUUUAAAAUUUAAAUUGGAAGUUCCAUCAAAGAAGUCUAAAAAAUUGAUCCUAUAUGGUCAACUACAUAAGAUGCCAUCCAAUCAGCAUCACUAUUGGCCUCUUUAUAAACAUGUGAAAUAGUCCAAG
rnacentral:lncRNA from 1 species